UACAGAGGUCUCAAGCGUUGUUCGGAUUCAUUGGGCGUAAAGGGUGCGUAGGUGGCGCCGUAAGUCAGGUGUGAAAUUUCGGAGCUUAACUCCGAAACUGCAUUUGAUACUGCGGUGCUUGAGGACUGGAGAGGAGACUGGAAUUCACGGUGUAGCAGUGAAAUGCGUAGAGAUCGUGAGGAAGACCAGUGGCGAAGGCGGGUCUCUGGACAGUUCCUGACACUGAGGCAGCGAAGGCCAGGGGAGCAAACGGG
rnacentral:rRNA from 1 species